rnacentral:pre_miRNA from 1 species
AAUAAAUUAAUCUUUCACUUUUUACCUACAUGUUUUUUGACUCUUCGUCUUAUUUGAAAAAAAAUUAUGAUUAAUAUUUUUGUUCUUAUUAGAUGAUAAAUCACGAAUAGUAUUUUAAGUGUGACUAUUUUUUUAAAAAGUUUCUUGGAGGUUUUUUAAAUAAGACGAAUGGUCAAACGCUGGAUACUAAAAACC